rnacentral:rRNA from 3 species
GUGGUAAUGCCGGAUGCUCCAGUUGAUCGCAUGGUCUUCUGGGAAAGCUUUCGCGGUAUGGGAUGGGGUCGCGUCCUAUCAGCUUGACGGCGGGGUAACGGCCCACCGUGGCUUCGACGGGUAGCCGGCCUGAGAGGGCGACCGGCCACAUUGGGACUGAGAUACGGCCCAGACUCCUACGGGAGGCAGCAGUGGGGAAUAUUGCACAAUGGGCGCAAGCCUGAUGCAGCGACGCCGCGUGAGGGAUGGAGGCCUUCGGGUUGUAAACCUCUUUUAUCGGGGAGCAAGCGAGAGUGAGUUUACCCGUUGAAUAAGCACCGGCUAACUACGUGCCAGCAGCCGCGGUAAUACGUAGGGUGCAAGCGUUAUCCGGAAUUAUUGGGCGUAAAGGGCUCGUAGGCGGUUCGUCGCGUCCGGUGUGAAAGUCCAUCGCUUAACGGUGGAUCCGCGCCGGGUACGGGCGGGCUUGAGUGCGGUAGGGGAGACUGGAAUUCCCGGUGUAACGGUGGAAUGUGUAGAUAUCGG